CCAGCCAUCGUUGCCCUCUCCGGUCGACGCGGACACCAGCCAUCGUUGCCCUAGUCUAUCGUCUCGACUAUCUCCUCUGAGUGCCUCUCCGGUCGACGCCCGCAACAGCCAUCGUUGCCCUCGUUGCCCAAGACGUCGCUGUUCACACUUCUGGCUGCCUCUCCGGUCGACGCCGGCACCAGCGGCAUUCACAAGAUUUCACAGGUUAAUUUUGAGACGAGUAUACCAAUUACUACUGGGGAAGGGCAAGUUGAUAUAGGUGAUGUACACUACCUGAUAAAGUUCGAUCAGUUCCAUAAUUUACGGUUGAUGGUUAACUUUGAUAAGGAUGAUUCAAGCAGUCGAAGAUUGAAGAUUUUCAACCAUUUUUUUUGUAACAAUGUCUUGUUAUCGACUUCAUUCUAAUCUUGAUGAUUUGAACGUUAUGAACAAACUUUUAUUUUGGUUUG